rnacentral:rRNA from 1 species
UACGGGGGGGGCAAGCGUUGUUCGGAAUUACUGGGCGUAAAGGGCUCGUAGGCGGCCAACUAAGUCAGACGUGAAAAUCCCUCGGCUUAAACCGGGGAACUGCGUCUGAUACUGGAUGGCUUGAAUUCGGGAGAGGGAUGCAGAAUUCCUGGUGUAGCGGUGAAAUGCGCAGAUAUCAGGAGGAACACCGGUGGCGAAGGCGGUCUCUGGGCAUUACCUGACGCUGAGGAGCGAAAGUUGUGGGGAGCGAACAGG